UCCUACGGGGGGCAGCAGUAGGGAAUUUUCGUCAAUGGGCGCAAGCCUGAACGAGCAAUGCCGCGUGAACGAGGAAGGUCUUCGGAUCGUAAAGUUCUGUUGAAGGGGAAAAAGAGCGGAGAGAGGAAAUGGUCUCCGAUUGAUAUUACCCUUCGAGGAAGUCACGGCUAACUACGUGCCAGCAGCCGCGGUAAUACGUAGGUGGCGAGCGUUAUCCGGAAUGAUUGGGCGUAAAGGGUGUGUAGGCGGCCUGCUAAGUCUGGAGUGAAAGGUACCGGCUCAACCGGUACAGGCUCUGGAAACUG
rnacentral:rRNA from 1 species